rnacentral:rRNA from 1 species
CCUACGGGAGGCAGCAGUGGGGGAUAUUGCACAAUGGGGGAAACCCUGAUGCAGCGACGCCGCGUGUGGGAAGACGGUCUUCUGGAUUGUAAACCACUGUCCCCAGGGACGAAAAUGACGGUACCUGGGGAGGAAGCUCCGGCUAACUACGUGCCAGCAGCCGCGGUAAUACGUAGGGAGCAAGCGUUGUCCGGAAUUACUGGGGGAAAAGGGAGCGUAGGCGGGGAUGCAAGUUGGGUGUCAAAACUACCGGCUCAACCGAUAGUCGCACUCAAAACUGCAGCUCUUGAGUGAAGUAGAGGCAGGCGGAAUUCCUAGUGUAGCGGUGAAAUGCGUAGAUAUUAGGAGGAACACCAGUGGCGAAGGCGGCCUGCUGGGCUUUUACUGACGCUGAGGCUCGAAAGUGUGGGGAGCAAACAGGAUUAGAUACCCGUGUAGUC